rnacentral:lncRNA from 1 species
UAAUCUCUAGCUCAGAUGCCGACUUUGUUCAGUGAUGCUGCCUGGUGUUACUCCAUGAAUCAAGAUAGAACUGGAACUUGGUGGUAGAAUCUCUACUAAUUGCAGGUAUGGUGAAGUGUCAAAACAUAGCAACCCCGUGAAUUGUAUGUCACACAUUCUGUGUCUUGAAUCGUUUUUGUAAAUUGUCAUCAUUCUGUAACAGAUCAAGAAAAUACUUUAGUUUCUUAUGCAGUGCUCCCCGUUUUUAAGUUUAGGUGUCUAGGGGAUGAGAAUUUGAAAACUUGUAUUUCAUGUCUUUGGAACUGCAAAAAGAAGCAAAUAGUUCAUGCUUUCUACAUUUAGAAUAAUUUCUUAGUCAGAGUGAUCAAACUACUUGAUACAAUAUCUCUAGAGUUGCAAAGUAGUCGCUGGUCCUCCAUGUCCAGUGAGUUUGAGCAGUUUUCCCAAAAUUAUAAUUCGUCAUGAGUAUAUUUUAGACUAAGUGGAACUUCGUAUCAGUUCCUACGUCUUCAAUUAUUUUGGCCCUUAUAAUUCAGUGGCAUAUGUCUAGUUUGUUUUUGUCAGUACGCCUGCGAUAGGAUUAUAAUGUAUAAUUUGCUAAUGCAUAUCAGGGAGGCCAAUAAUGUCGUCCAUGGGGGUAAUUCUCUGGCCAAUGCUUGGCAGACUAAUUGGAUUGAAGCAUUUCUAACGCUCAAACACCUAAGUUGCUGGCGUUACAUACUAACUAAGAUUCAAGCAAGCCAGGUAUGGUUAAUAUUUUUGUGUUGUCCUGAUGUUGCUCUAUGUCUAGUGCUUUGCAUUCCAUUUGGAGCAGCUGCUGCAGCCUUCAAGUGCUGGUUUCUUUACGUAACAAAAUAAAAUGUUAGUUCUUUUUGGUUUCCAGUAAUCAAUGCUGCGCAUUCUAGAUUCAAGUUAUCAACAGUUGCAUUAUAAACGUGAUUGUCGUUAUUAUACAACUUCUCCCACUGUGAUAUCAUUGUAUUUGUUUGCUAUUAAACUCUCGACUCUAGAGCUACCUGUGACCGGUUUGUUAUUAUAAAGUAAAAAGAACGUACUGUUGCGUGGGAACUUUGGAUUUGUGUUCGCACGGUAACUUGCUGGUUCAUGGUUUCUGGGAUUGCAGAAGCUUUGUCUUCUUGUCAGGAUGAUUCUUAGUUUGAUCUGUAUAGAAUACCCUUUAGUAUGACUGGUUGGGCCUUUGAUCUGCGUGAGCACUUAUUUAGGGUGAUUUUUUCAUUCACUAAUGGAGCUCUUGGUUUAGUCUUUAUAAAAUAUCCAUUAGUCUGAACUAAUUGCUAAAAGUAAUCACGUAAAAGUGGACUUUUUCCUCUUAAGGACGUAAAGUGACUUUGUUGUCGUCAGUCUUAUACUGUUUGAAGAUGUGUGGCUUAUCUGAUAUUAAUCUACAAAAAGUGGUCAAGCGGAACCUAACUCAACAAGCAUAUCUAGACUUUGUAGAGACAAGCAUGACAAUUUAGUUAUUGAUGUCACAUUGCAAAAUCUUAUAUCUCUUUUCUACCCCCGAAAAAAAUAUAUCUCUUUUCCCUGCCCAAGUAGCAGUUGGAUACGAGUCCUUCAUUUUCUGUUGCAUUGGUUCAAUAUUUUUAGUUGACGUUUGGUAACAGGGAAUGAUUCAGUUGGUAAAGGAUAUAACUUUUGUCUAUCAUUCGUAAAAACCUACGGACCCAAUUGUCUAAGUGGCCUCUGAUCCACAUAGGCUAGCUACCAAGCUUGUAUUUAGUUCCGUUAAUCUUUCAUCUGCAGCAAUUAAUACGAGCAGGUUUCAGUUUUGCAGAGACCCAAAUAUGGACUCUACGACUUGAAAUGGAAGAACAAUUAGGCAUGUUAUGUCCGAAUUUGCGAAGAAAGAGAUCAGCAAUAAGCAAAGCAAACAGUGGCAACGGGCAAGUUAGAAAUAAUUGGCAGCGUUCCACAAGUAGAGAUGGGUGAUCCAAAUGUGAAAUUGAAAGCAAUCAUGAGGAACUAACUGGAUAGAAGCUGGUUUUCAGAAUUGAGAUGUGAAACAGAGAAGUAAAAGAGGAGGAGAAAUAUCUGUUCCAUUGCUUUGAGUGGGGCAAAGACUUUAGAGCUACUACCAACACUUUUGUUAUAGCACUAGUCUAGUGUUGGAAUUAUGGUGGGGAUCCAUACAGGUCAGAGUGUUGUUGUUUUGCAAACGUGUGGGUUCGAUUCUGAAUGUCUGCUGGAGAGACACAGUGAUAUGUGUUGAAGUUGCAGAAGCUGGAAUGAGAGUUACGUACUUUGUAUUUGUCAACUAUUGCUCAACGGCCUGAGUGGGAUACUGGCUGGCUGGCUGGCUGGCUGGCUGGGUGCAACAUAGAUAGGAAAUACCGUGUGGGGUACAAAUAUGAUAUAAUGUAUCCUUCCUUCCUUCCUUCCUUCGUAUGUAAUGAAUGUAUAACAACAGUAUAAGAAAAUAAUAAUGACUUAAGUCUUUCAUUCUAUUCCCUUGCUGGUCUGCAACUUCAGUCCAUCAGUGGGUCAAUUUCAGACUCCAUUAAUUUAGGUUGUAGAUCAGAUGGGUUUGUAUUCAAUCCCAAAAGGUGUUUCCUUU